rnacentral:miRNA from 10 species
UUGCUUGAACCUGGGAGGUGGAGGUUGCAGUGAGCUGAGAUCACGCCACUGCACUCCAGCCUGGGCCACAGAG